rnacentral:misc_RNA from 1 species
GUGAAUCAUCGAAUUUUUGAACGCAAAUUGCACUCUCUUCUGAGAGUAGGCCUGUUUGAGGGUCAGCCUAAAAAAAAAUCGACAUAGUCGCUGUUUCGCGGUGACAUUGGUCGGGAAUUGGGUGAUCUUAUACCUUUUGGUUUUAAGCGGCUUAAAAUUUUCUUUACGAUUGCACGAUCGUUUCUAAACUUUACUUCUUAUAUGGUUUAUGUAUCGAUCUUUAUUAGACGU